rnacentral:rRNA from 1 species
UGGGGAAUAUUGCACAAUGGGCGCAAGCCUGAUGCAGCCAUGCCGCGUGUGUGAAGAAGGCCUUCGGGUUGUAAAGCACUUUCAGCGAGGAGGAAGGUGGUGAGCUUAAUACGCUCAUCAAUUGACGUUACUCGCAGAAGAAGCACCGGCUAACUCCGUGCCAGCAGCCGCGGUAAUACGGAGGGUGCAAGCGUUAAUCGGAAUUACUGGGCGUAAAGCGCACGCAGGCGGUUUGUUAAGUCAGAUGUGAAAUCCCCGGGCUCAACCUGGGAACUGCAUUUGAAACUGGCAAGCUAGAGUCUCGUAGAGGGGGGUAGAAUUCCAGGUGUAGCGGUGAAAUGCGUAGAGAUCUGGAGGAAUACCGGUGGCGAAGGCGGCCCCCCUGGACGAAGACUGACGCUCAGGUGCGAAAGCGUGGGGCAGCAAACAGGAUUAGAUACCCUGGUAGUCCACGCUGUAAACGAUGUCGAUUUGGAGGUUGUGCCCCUUGAGGCGUGGCUUCCGGAGCUAACGCGUUAAAUCGACCG